ACGUAGGGUGCGAGCGUUGUCCGGAAUCAUUGGGCGUAAAGGGCGCGUAGGCGGACGUUUAAGUCUGGUGUGAAAGACUGGGGCUCAACCCCAGGGCUACACCGGAAACUGGGCGUCUUGAGGACAGGAGAGGAAAGCGGAAUUCCACGUGUAGCGGUGAAAUGCGUAGAUAUGUGGAGGAACACCAGUGGCGAAGGCGGCUUUCUGGACUGUAACUGACGCUGAGGCGCGAAAGCGUGGGGAGCAAACAG
rnacentral:rRNA from 1 species